rnacentral:rRNA from 1 species
UAAUACGAGAGGCCCAAACGUUAUUCGGAAUUACUGGGCUUAAAGAGUUCGUAGGCGGCGCGGAAAGUAGGGUGUGAAAGCCCUCGGCUCAACCGAGGAAUUGCGCUCUAAACUGCCGUGCUUGAGGAAGCUAGAGGUGAGCGGAACUGAUGGUGGAGCGGUGAAAUGCGUUGAUAUCAUCAGGAACACCGGAGGCGAAGGCGGCUCACUGGGGCUUUUCUGACGCUGAGGAACGAAAGCCAGGGUAGCGAACGGGAUUAGAUACCCCGGUAGUCCUGGCCGUAAACGAUGAGCACUAGGCCGGAGGGCUGCACAGCUUUUCGGCCGUAGCUAAAGUGUUAAGUGCUCCGCCUGGGGAGUAUGGUCGCAAGGCUG